rfam:Flavobacteriaceae bacterium CG1_02_35_72 cg1_0.2_scaffold_2413_c, whole genome shotgun sequence.
GCAAUCAUGAGGUUAGGUCUGAAGAAAGCGAAACUACAAAAAUCGGUAAUGACUGCUCGCCCCAAAUUUAUUUUGGGAAACAGAAAUUAGAUAAGAGGCUAUUAAGUUGGAUGAGCAGGCACACCUUUGUGAAGUUCUAAAUGCUCUAAGUGAACAUUAAAAUAGUAGAUCUGGCAGAAAUAGAUUGAAAGAAGAUGUU